CCUCCGCCGCGAAGCGCAGUGGCGUCGCUGUUCGGCGCCGACCGCCGUCUCUGCUCCGCCGACACCCUCCCGCCCGCCGAGAUCCGGGUAAGGAUCGAGGUGGCGGUGAUCAACUUCCUCGCCGGCCAUCUCCGUCAUCUCCCUGAUUAGCCGGAGCUCUGCCAACUGCAGCCUGCGCAGAGGGUUACUGAGCGACUUUUCAUCGGUUUACCUGUCGUACGCCUUCUGCAAGAGGUCUCUGAUGAGAGAAAACAAUGCAAAGGCGUUUGUAAGAGUUUGGAAGGUCAUGGAGAUGUGCUACAAGAUCUUGGGCGAGGGGAAGCAGGUCAACCAAAGGGAGUUGUUCUACAAGCUCCUCUCGAACUCGCCCAAGUAUUUCAGUUGUAUGUGCCAUGUGAGCCAAACCAUUCAAGUGUACAAGGCAAAGCCUAGGAAUCAUAGCAUCAAGCAGAGGGGCGCUGAUUGGGUGGCUUGUCUUGCAUGUGGGCUCCGUGAUAUGUUGAGAAAUGUCUUGCUUAUUGGAAUUAUCAGCUGAGGGAAAUGAUAAUCACUUGUUUAUCUUUUCUUGAAGCACCUAAAUUGCUUGUCCAAACUAUCUUAGGAACUGGAUGAAUAACACAUUGACAGCUCUAUUCUUGGACCUUCCGGGCAUGCAAUUACUGGAGAUCUGAACCAGCUGAGCAAAUUAAAUUUGCAUUCAGAUGCUCGGUAUAUGAUUAUAGUUGAGAAGGACGCCAUAUUUCAGAGGCUGGCUGAAGACCACUUGUAUAAUCAGCUCCCUUGUAUCCUAAUCACUGCAAAAGGAUAUCCUGAUCUUGCUACGAGGUUUAUCUUUCAUCGACUGAGCCAGAAUUUUCCAAAUAUGCCAAUUUUUGCAUUAGUGGAUUGAUAUAAUUAGAUGGAACCCAGCAGGGCUUGCUAUAUUGUGCACUUACAAAUAUGGAAGCAUAUCAAUGGGUUUGGAGUCAUACAGAUAUGCUUGCAAUGUGAAAUGGCUUGGGCUAAGAGGGGAUGAUCUGCAGCUUAUCCCUGAUAGUGCAUUUCAAGAGUUGAAGCCAUGUGAUUUGCAGAUUGCGAAAAGCUUGCUGUCAUCCAAAUUUCUGCAGAUGUCUUCUGCUCUUCAACUUUUGGAGUAAUGUAGUAGCUUUGGAAGCAGCAAAUUUCAGAUUAGAUACAACUGGGAACAUGAAGUGACAAGUAAAUCUGGAGAUUUUUCCGCAUUCAUCUUUUGAACCACAUACCUGCAUUAUGAUAUUCUAUCUGUUUGGCUCUUGCUCCAAAUUGACCAACAAAGUCGCUGAAUAAGUGCAUAGUGCUUUGUCUAGUUAGUUUGACCAAUGAGUGCGGCUGUUUAAGAGGCAAUUAUAGUGUAAUAUUUGUUUCAAACUAUGGCAAAAAAAAGUGCAACACAUGUUGCCAGUGUUGGACUGUUGGCCACGCAUCAAGUAACAACGUAGCUGUUAGCUCAAGUUUCGAUAGAUACAAAAAGGACUAAUUCCCUGGAAUCUGCCCUUUGUAAUUGGUCAUUCUGAAUAUGAAAGUACUCCUGAUAUGCUUGUGACAAAUAAAUCCGACAUGUUGUACAUCAAGGACGCCUGUCUUUUCUUUUUUGGGAAGCAACGGUGAGGAUCUUGCCCCCCCUGAACUUUACUCAACUAAUUUGACCAGGGGUCAAAACUUUUAACAAGGACGCUUUUCAUUGUUAAAAGUUUUCUGUUCUUCCCAUUUACACCACCAAAUGCUUGAUCAUUUUUCCUUUUGACAUGGAGGCCAUAGACUCCUAGCUUAUGAGCUAUGGCACAUUUAAUUACUACUGUUUGUUUUUUUGGCUUAAGGAGAAUUACAGAACUGAGCUGACACUGAUGGUCGAGGUGGGCAAGCGUGCGGAGAUCGAAGCUCUCGACUCCCACGGAUUUGAUUUCUUGGGGAAGUACAUUGCGAGAAAUAUUGUACAGGGCGACUACAUUUGACAGCGCAGUGCUGUCGUUUGUUUCUUUCUUUGGUUGGUAUCGAGCGCUGGAAUGUUAGCCUGAGCUUAUUGACUGCAUGAUUUCUGGUUUUUCCCAGUGCCCUGAAGAUUGACAUCGAAUCAUACAAGAUUGACUUGUUUUUGUUCCUCCUAGUCUCAUGUUGAUCUUAUUAUUACUGGGCCAUGUUUGCCAUCAUUGCUUAUUGGAAAGACGUAACUUUUUGGUAGUUUCAGCUUAGACCUCGGAAAA